rnacentral:rRNA from 1 species
UGACAGUACUCCGUACGGGAGGCAGCAGUGGGGAAUAUUGCACAAGUACGGGGGAAACCCUGAUGCAGCCAUGCCGCGUGUGUGAAGAAGGCCUUCGGGUUGUAAAGCACUUUCAGUAGGGAGGAAGGUAGUGUAGUUAACACCUGCAUUAUUUGACGUUACCUACAGAAGAAGCACCGGCUAACUCCGUGCCAGCAGCCGCGGUAAUACGGAGGGUGCGAGCGUUAAUCGGAAUUACUGGGCGUAAAGCGCAUGCAGGCGGCCUGUUAAGUCAGAUGUGAAAGCCCGGGGCUUAACCUCGGAAUUGCAUUUGAAACUGGCAGGCUAGAGUCUUGUAGAGGGGGGUAGGAAUUUCAGGUGUAGCGGUGAAAUGCGUAGAGAUCUGAAGGAAUACCAGUGGCGAAGGCGGCCCCCUGGACAAAGACUGACGCUCAGAUGCGAAAGCGUGGGGAGCAAACAGGAUUAGAUACCCUGGUAG